AUGGAUUCAUUGAUCAGCUAGGCCAAGCAUAUGACAGUCUGUUCCUUAAUUGAAUCCCAAAAGGGGGCAGGCUGGGUUUUUAUUACAGAGGCCAGACGAUAGCACUCAUUAAAAGCUCCACAGACUGUGUGGUUUACUAAUUAGUUUAUUAUACAGACACCUUGACGAUGGGCAAAGUUGUCAUUUUGCCCUUUAUCGCACAGGGGAUGUUGUUAAAAGUUUAAUCAGCUAACACUGACCAACUUAGCUUGGCAGGCGCUGGAUGGUCAUUACUGAGGUCACCCCUGCUGUAGUGAUUCUGACAGGGUCACAGCGUGAACCUCCAGUAAAAAGAGUGUUAGAUAAGAUAUGUGCAAAACCCAGAAACUUGAGCAGAGGCAUGCAGCAUCAUUUGAAUGUCUUAAGUUGCCACAACACUGCUCCUUUGCACAUACUUGGCCCUUCCAAGUGAAUAGUGAGUGAAGGAGACUAGCGGUGAUCAAAUUUCCUGAUCAUAUUUUUUUUCCCCGCUGGAAAGGAAUGAUGCUCUUCUGAAAUAGGAAAAGUUAACAAAUUAGUUUCAGGUUAGUUCUGAUCAGAAUGUAUCCAUCCUGUACCUCCCAGAAAUGAACAUGGUACCCCAAGAUCUCUGCAUUUCUAAGCUUAUGAUGCAGUUGCCUCAUCAACAAAAAUAUAUUUUAAAAAAUGUGCAUUUGAAAAAUGCAAACAGACAACCGGAGAAAGAUACUAAUACUUUAAAAAUGCACGUAAUUAGUGUGUAUAUUUGGAAAAGUACACCUGAAAGUGCAUGCAGUUAAUAGGAACAUUUAGAAUUAGUGUGUACAUUUGGAAAAGUACACAUGAAAAUGCAUGCAAUGUUGAUGCAGCUUUCCCCCCCACAUGCCGCAAUCUGAAAUGGACAUGAAUUGGAAAGAAUUUUGGGAAAGAAAGGAGAACUUUAACAAGCUUCAGUUUUUCAUUUUCUCAUGUGCCUGCUCUGCUUAUGAUUGUUGCAAUGGAAUAUUUAACACAUGGAACAUAUCCAUUUAUUCCAACUAGGGCAGCCUCAUUGAAUCUCAUGUAAUGACAGACUUACCAAACUCCCAUUAAUUCAGUUGGUCCAGUCCCAUGUUUUUGAAAGUUAACUUGCACCAGGUUGUGCCAUCUAGUCAAAUGACAUGUGGAUUCAGGGUUUAAUCUUUUCUACUUUUCUUCUCUACUCUUUUUUUUUUUUUUAAUUUGGAGAGACCAGGGGUUGAAACUGAGACCUUCUCCAAACAAAACAUGUGCUUCAUCACUGAGUUAUGUAAGCUUAUUUCUUAGCAUUUGUAGGGACGGGAGCAGAAUGGAACAGAAUGGGGGGAAACGUGUGUUACCACAUGGGAGAAUGCCACUGAUGUCUCCAGGAGUCCCCAAGUGUUCCCCAGCCAUUCCUGGCAGCCGAUUUUGAAAAAUGGUUCAAAAUCAUCCUUCAAAAUUAGCUGCCAUAGAACAGCUGGGGAACCGUUUGGGGACUCCUGGCGGCAGCGGCAGCAUUCUCCCGUGUGGUAACACACAUCCCCCCCCAGUUCCAUUCCAUACUGUUCCAUGCCCAUUCCUCCAAAUGCUGUGCAAUAACCUUAAUGGUUUCAUUCCUCUCAGAAUAACCAAGACCAGGAAUGCUAUCAUGCUAAUCUCAUUUCUUCUUCUAAAUGUUGGAGAGAAACCUCAGAAAGGAUGCUGAAAUUAAACCCUCUUUCCUCACUUUCUGAUGAAAUCAGAGUCCCCAUUCCAUGUUCUUAGGGUGCUUUAUAGUGAAAACACACAGACAAGUACAAUCGCAUAUGUCCUGUGUCAUGUGUGCUUUGGUCAUGUACGCAGAUGACCCAGGAGCCUGCAAUUUGAGUGUUCAUUCAAUUGUUUAGAAUUGUAGAUGUAAUGUUGGAACAUGAGGAAAAACAACAGGUUUUUUUAGGGUAAGGAACAUUUAAGAAUCCUGAUAAUUUAUAUGCUGAAGAUGUAACAAUGACAUCCUCCUGUACCACUGCUAGUUAGCAUAUCUUCGUAGUUACCUCAGGAAACUUCUCCUGCUGAUGGAUUGCUCUGUUAUAUCCAAAAGAGGCAAAUGCAUCUUCACUAACCCAUUUUUAGAGUCCUCCUUUAACAGUGAAACUAAAAGGCUCCAACUUUUCCUUCUGCUGUAUCUCCCUGAGGCAAUGAAGGAAUUAGCUCUGUGUGUCUGUGUGUGUCAAUGAAGCAUUUUGAAAUUUCACACAUUUAAAUCAUCCCCAACUUUGACAGCAUUUUAAACACAUUGAAGCACAUUUCUAAAUUCAGAUAUUCACCUGUCAUCUCCUCAACAAGCUUUCCUCCUACAAGACUCCUACAUGGCAAAGGAAUACAAUUUGUGGGGAAAGAUUUGCUCACCCAAAAUGUAAACGAACUUUAGUGGGAAAGAGGAUAAUGUAAAGUACUAGCCUGCUGUAUGUAAAAAUAUUCCUUGACAAGUCCAACACUUGACUGUGGUCCAUGACUGCACCAUACUCUAUAUUUCCCAGUGCCAUAAAAUAGUUUCAAAGUGCUGUUUAAUAUCCAAUUAAUUCUGUCCCAAAGAGCUCUGGUGCAACAGCAUUCUAAGUACAUCACUAAAUAAUAAAUCCCAAGAUUCCAUGGAAUCGAACCAUGGCUGUUCAAAUUAUAUGAAAGAACUACAAUUGUGUAAAAUAGAUAUAUUGUUCCCCCACUUUAAUUGAAAACAAAAAGGUCUUUGAAUCUUAUAGGUCUGAACUAAUGAUCUUCCUAUACAUCAAAGAUAAUCCACAUCUUUUGGAAUACUGGAACCCCUUCUUUAUGGCAUAAUGUGUGAAGGGAGAGCUAAUAUGCCAGAAAAGUAAAGUAACUAUGAAAACAACUAAAAGAAGCAGUGAACAAAAGUAGUUUUAUUUUAAUUGCACGGUAAUUGGAUCACCUUUGUUGGCAUGAUUUUUCUUUGCAAUAUAAAAAGUCCAAAAAUAUUCACAGUUGAGAAGAAAUGGUCCAUGCCUUUAGAAGGAAGAGUACACACCAUUCAUUGUUAGAUCACAUGCUUUGCAUGAUGGAUGUCCCAGAUACAUCUUCCAGCAUCUCCCAUAAAAAUGAUCUCAUAGGUAGCAGCUUUGUUGUGGAAAGACCUAUUCCUAUCUUUCUGGAGAACUACUAAUAAUCAGUGAAAAUGAUACAGGGUUAGACCAGAGCUGGGACGAAUUACUGUUUUGAACUACAUGUUCCAGAAUUUCUCAGCCAUGUUGGCUGUAGCAUUGUGGGAGUUGUAGGCCAAGGCACUUGGUUGAAGUCAGCCUAAAGAACCUUCAUAUGUUCCUAUUCAGCUUUUGCUGGAGUGUUACAUAAAAGCUUUCAAUUUAUUGAGCAGCUUUCAAGAGCUGAGAGGAUCAUUUGUGACUAAUGAAGAGCAGUGAACUUUUUAAUAAGAGCAACAACUAGCUUUGAUAUUGAUAUUGUUGGAUUUUUCUCUCUCUGAGAGAAGUCUCUUUUGAAGUCUUUGGGAUUAAGAAAUCCUUUAUAUUUUACUCAACCAUGCUAAUAAAACCAACUAGGCUGCAUAAUGCAAUUUUCCAGGCAAAUGCAAGUAUUCCUGCUUAGUUUCCUAUGCUGUUCAUUUGAUACAUGUGUGCAUGAUUUCUGCCAUCCUAACCACUGCCAUUAUAUCACAAUUGUCAUUACUCCUUCCAUGAUGCACUCCCAUGGACAGGAGACUAUUUUAUAAAUCAUGUAAGCCUUUGAGAACCAUUUGUAAGGUUUUUCUCCUUUCUUUUUAAUGAAUAUGUUUUAAAAUUAUUUUUAAUUGUAUUGAUAGUUUAAUUAUAUUUUAACUUAUGUUUUUAUUGAUGUCAGCUCAUAUUAUAUUAUUUAUAAUAUUUUUAUAAUAUAAAAAAUAAAAAUGUCAUAUAUUAUAUGUGCUGAGGCAGGCACAGAUCCACCAUACCCAGGUCCAGAAGCAAAUGAAAGGUCCUCUUUCCAUGAUGGCUAGCAAUGCCCUGGCCUUGGAAGGAGAGAAGACGAAGGAGUCACAGCUCCACCAUGCCCAGACCCAGAAGCAAAUGAAAACCACUAACCCUCCAUCCCAACUUCCACUACCUAGCCAAGGAAGGAGAGAAGAAGAGGCAGUCACAACUCCACCAUGCCCACACCCAGAAGCAAAUGAAAGCCACUCCACUCCGUCUCAGCUGCCACUACCUAGCCAAGGAGGGAGAGAAGCAGGUACAGCUCCACCAUCCCCAGGCCCAGAAGCAAAUGGAAGGUCCUCUUUACAUCCCAGCUGCCACUGUCCUGGACUCAGAGAGAAGAGAAGAGGCAGGUACUAAUCCACCAUGCCUAGGCCCAGAAGCAGGUGAAAGGUUCUCCUUCCAUCCCAACUGCUACUGUCCUGACCAUGGAAAGAGAGAAAAACCAGACCAGUGUAUGCUGGGCUUAAUCCCUUCCACACUGCCCUUCCUUUCCCUUUCCUUCUAUGUUGAGUCUUGUUUAAAUUGUAAAGUAGAGGGCACGUAACUGCCAGAUUAAUAAUUUGUAAACUGCUCUGAGAGCCUUUGUGGCUUAAGAGUUGGGUAUAAUACUAUAAACAAACAAACAUAUCUAUUUUGAUAUUUGUAAUCUCAGAAAUGUUGGCCUUUUCAAACUGUUUAAUUUAUUGUGCUAUUUCCUAUAUUUAUUUUUGUCAUGUUUAAACUAUUAAUUAAUUUCAAUCUGGAAUUGUUUAAAUGGUCUUAUCUGUUUAUUGUCAUGAUUUCUUAUGAUAAAGAGAUGAAAAUAAUUUUUAUAGUAUAUCUAUCAAUCAUCUGCAUAGAAACUGAAUAUCGGGGGAAAGAUAUACUAAAAAGAAUAAGAAUAGUAUGCUUUAUAGAGCAAUAUUUCAAAUAGUAGAGGAAUGCAGAAUCUUCUAAAUCCCAAGGACACUAAUAUCCACCCAAAGCUAAAUACUUUCCAGAUGCACUGACUUCAAUGGGAUAAUAUCUCUUUUUUUAAAAUUAAUAGGUCUGAGAAAUGUUUUUAUCUAGCAACACUAUGCCAUUGUUGUUGUUAAUUCAGCCAAGGUUCAGUACUUUUAUAUUCUAUUGGUUUUAAGGCAAAAGAAGUUAAAUUAAUCUUUGACUUAUAUCUGUUUACAUCAAUAAGAUUUUAAUGUUUUGAAACAUUUUUCCCUUAGAGACCAAGUCUAAAUUUAUUACUGUAUUACUUAGGUUUUUUUUGUGGGUUUUUCAGGCUAUGUGGCCAUGUUCUAGAAGAGUUUCUUCCUGAUGUUAUUAUUACUAUUUCUCAUGUUCCAAUACUUAUCUGAGAAUGAGUGAUGCACUGAAAGUGCCUCCACAGCUCUGGCCUUUUAGGUAUUAAAGGUAUUUAAUUUAUUAAAGAUAUUGAAUUUAGUGUUUUUCUAAUGCUUAAAAGCAGUCUGUGUCAAUAUUUCUGACAGCAAUCAUCCUGUUGUGAAGGAGUAUUUUGUGAAACUGUCCCAAGGGAGGGAGGAGAGAAAUGGAGGACAACCAGUUAAACUAAAUCCUAUUUUUCACUGUCCGUGUCAUAAUUCUAUGAUAUUCUUUUUUCCAAAGUUUUGUGAAAUAAAAGAGGUUGUCAUUAA